GACGAACGCUGGCGGCGUGCUUAACACAUGCAAGUCGAACGGUAAGGCCCUUCGGGGUACACGAGUGGCGAACGGGUGAGUAACACGUGGGUGAUCUGCCCUGCACUUCGGGAUAAGCCUGGGAAACUGGGUCUAAUACCGGAUAGGACCACUGCCUGCAUGGGUGGUGGUGGAAAGCUUUUGCGGUGUGGGAUGGGCCCGCGGCCUAUCAGGUUGUUGGUGGGGGGAUGGCCUACCAAGGCGACGACGGGUAGCCGGCCUGGGAGGGUGACCGGCCACACUGGGACGGAGAUACGGACCAGACGCCGACGGGAGGCAGCGGUGGGGAAUAUUGCACAAUGGGCGCAAGCCUGAUGCAGCGACGCCGCGUGAGGGAUGACGGCCUUCGGGUUGUAAACCUCUUUCAGCACCGACGAAGCGCAAGUGACGGUAGGUGCAGAAGAAGGACCGGCCAACUACGUGCCAGCAGCCGCGGUAA
rnacentral:rRNA from 1 species